CUUCUCCAUGUUGUACCUUUUCUUUCACCAAAACUCUUUCACGAAGAAAAUCAAACCCGAUACCCAAAAACGCGAUUCUCCUUCUCCUCUUUCUUCUUUAUUUCUCUACCCUUCUCCUCCCCCAAAUGCCAUUAUCUACAUCAGCUUCCUCAAAAUCUGACAACAAUCUUACUUCAAAACCACAGAAAUUCCCAAUCAGAUCUAAGAGACCAACUCUCAUGGGUCAUUCGGACAAAUCAAGUUUCAGAGACUGAGACAAUUCCAUUGGAGAGAGACUGAGACAAUUCCAUCGGACAAAUCUGGCCGCUGGGGAGACAAUAUGCUUCAAGAAAAGUUAAUUUCAGAGAUCUCUUAAGACAAGGCUUGCAUCUAGAAGCUUAUGAAUUUUAAGGAGAAAGAUGGCUUUUCAUUUUGAUUGGUGAUGAACUGGACUAAUUAUACCACUCACCAGUGGCAUGGAAUCUUUGAGUUAAGGUGAAAAGGGUUGCAUUGGUGAGCUUCUUUUGUAUUUCUCUUGCCUUUCGAAGGGCACGAGACUGAGGAUGUAUACUUUUAUAAUGCUUGGCCUACAUAAGAUGGAGUUUCUACUAAGGAACAAUUAGAUGCUUGCAGUGCACACAAGAUUGAGAUAGGGCUGAUGAAUAACAUUAUAUGUAAUAACAUUAUAACCUUAGUUCACCAAGUUCAAGGUCCUUAAUGUUUUUCUUUUAAUAUGUUUUUUAUUUAUUUAUUUAUUUAAAUGGAUGUAGUUUAUAUAAAGAUAUGUAAAGCAUUCUUGUGUU